rnacentral:misc_RNA from 1 species
GGGGUUGACUGGCUGGUGGCGCCGCCCAUUGCGAAAUCCGCUGUGCCUGCCAAAAAAUGUCAUUCUUCAACAAACCAAACCAUAUAGUGGAUGGAAUCUAUCAUGAAAAGCAGGUGCGGGAGCUGUGCGCACUGCACGCUCUCAACAACGUGCUGCAGGACCGUCAGUUCACGGAGAGACAGCUGGAUGCCAUCUGUGACGAGCUGGCCCCAGGUGCCUGGCUCAACCCCCACCGCUCCCUCCUCGGCACCGGCAACUUCGACGUCAAUGUUGUGAUGACGGCACUGCAGCAGAAGGGCUGGGACGCUCGCUGGUUCGACCGCCGCAGAUCCGUCUCGGACCUGGUGUUGGCGCACAUCGAGGGCUUCAUCCUCAACUUGUCCACCGAGUACAGAAUCGGGCCAUUCACCCUGCCAUACUCGCGUCGCCACUGGGUGGCGCUGCGGCGUUUACGCCCCGCCUCCCUGCCACCUAGCGAGCCGGCUGUGUACUACAACUUGGACUCCAAGCUGCCGGCGCCACAGAGCAUUGGAUCGGAUUCUGAUCUCAUACAGUACCUCUCUGAGAAGCUGGGCUCGAAAGACGUCGAACUGUUCGUGGUCGUGAGCCAGCAAGCAGCCGCCGAUGGCGUGUGGAUCGCGAAUGCGGCGUCGCCUGCCGACCAAAGAUCGGACUUCAACUGCGUAAAGUCCCCAGGAGAUGUCUCUGCGGACGACGGUCCGGCUGCAGCACGUGAACUUGCCGUGAAAACGGCGGGCGCAAACGCGUCCGAACAGAACGGUGUGGUCAUGCAGGGGACGUGCAGCUGAGAUCGGUCACGUUUUCCUCGGCAGCACGCGCAGGGUCCGCCCGGCCUGGGUAUGGUCGCCCGCCGGCAAGCCUUCUCCGCACAUCGCCGCUGCCGUCUGACCCCGCGUUACCUCACUACGCUGUGGUGCCACGCGCGCCGCGCCACACGCCCCGCAUGAGCGUCGAGCGGCGUCAGCGUCAGGCCUGGAGCUGGCAGCUCGACCGCCGGGAGCGGCGGCUCGGCGAGCCCCCUCGCGAAGGGAUGCAGGGUCCGCAGCCCCGCCACGCGUGGCCGCGACUGCAGGCCGGGUCCGAGGCUGUGGCGCUAGCGCUGCUUGUCGCUUGAGUUACUCCUUGUUGGGGUACAGCGCGCCGCGGUGUGGUACGUUGAACGGUAUUUCGCCAAGUGUUAUCGGCCAUUUUGUCCGUCUUGUGAUUCUGCGCAGUGCACGGAUUGGCGGGAACGCGCGUGGACGUCAUUGCCGGCCUGACGUCCGCAAUUGCCACGCAUUAAAGAAUAAUGGAGCCCAUGUUUUGACGUAUUCGCUGGCAUUCAGACUCCGUACACGGCCAUCUGAAGGCGCUGCGGCACGCUAAGAUUGCAUGAUGUGACUUGUAGUCGGCUUGCUUGUUUUGUACUGUUGUUGACGCCAUAUUUUAUCCCAGAACUAGCAAACAGUGCGAAGCGUGUCGGCAUCAUAGCGUUUCCAACAUAGAACACAGCUCAUUUCGCCGACCGGAGUGGCAGAUACGACCUCGUGUAAUUGCAUCGAAACCCUUGCAGUUGCGGUUUUGCGUCGGUUGCCUUCUCUUUCAGCCGCACUGAGGUGUCGACUGGCCGGGAGUUGUUGGACCAGCGAGCGGGGUGACCAAUCGGCAUGCACAGGUGUAGCAGUGUUGCUCUGCCCCGCGCUACGCCCUUGUCAGCGACGGACAAGCGGUCAGGUGCCGCGGCCAUCACGCGUUGUCUGCCCCGCGCUACGCCCUUGUCAGCGGCGGACAAGUGGUCAGGUGCCCCGGCCAUCACGCGUUGUCUGCCCCGCGCUACGCCCUUGUCAGCGACGGACAAGCGGUCAGGUGCCGCGGCCAUCACGCGUUGUCUGCCCCGCGCUACGCCCUUGUCAGCGGCGGACAAGUGGUCAGGUGCCGCGGCCAUCACGCGUUGUCUGCCCCGCGCUACGCCCUUGUCAGCGGCGGACAAGUGGUCAGGUGCCCCGGCCAUCACGCGUUGUCUGCCCCGCGCUACGCUCUUGUCAGCGACGGACAAGCGGUCAGGUGCCGCGGCCAUCACGCGUUGUCUGCCCCGCGCUACGCCCUUGUCAGCGGCGGACAAGUGGUCAGGUGCCGCGGCCAUCACGCGUUGUCUGCCCCGCGCUACGCCCUUGUCAGCGGCGGACAAGUGGUCAGGUGCCGCGGCCAUCACGCGUUGUCUGCCCCGCGCUACGCCCUUGUCAGCGGCGGACAAGUGGUCAG